rnacentral:rRNA from 1 species
GACGAACGCUGGCGGCGUGCCUAAUACAUGCAAGUAGAACGCUGAAGGAGGAGCUUGCUUCUCUGGAUGAGUUGCGAACGGGUGAGUAACGCGUAGGUAACCUGCCUGGUAGCGGGGGAUAACUAUUGGAAACGAUAGCUAAUACCGCAAAUAGUAGAUGUCCCAUUACAUUUGCUUAAAAGGUGCAAUUUCAUCACCACCAGAUGGACCUGCGUUGUAUUUGCCAGUUGGUGAGGUAACGGCUACCCAAGGCAACGAUACAUAGCCGACCUGAGAGGGUGAUCGGUCACACUGGGACUGAGACACGGCCCAGACUCCUACGGGAGGCAGCCGUAGGGAAUCUUCGGCAAUGGACGGAAGUCUGACCGAGCAACGCCGCGUGAGUGAAGAAGGGUUUCGGAUCGUAAAGCUCUGUUGUAAGAGAAGAACGAGUGUGAGAGUGGAAAGUUCACACUGUGACGGUAUCUUACCAGAAAGGGACGGCUAACUACGUG